GGGUGUAUAGCUUAAGUGGUAGAGUGCAUGCUUAGCAUGCAUGAAGUCCUGGAUUCAAUCCCCAGUACCUCCU
rfam:Camelus ferus unplaced genomic scaffold scaffold961, whole genome shotgun sequence.